rnacentral:rRNA from 1 species
AUUGAACGCUGGCGGAAUGCUUUACACAUGCAAGUCGAACGGUAGAGGGGGGCAACCCCUUGAGAGUGGCGAACGGGUGGAGUAAUAUAUCGGAACGUGCCCAGUCGUGGGGAGUAACGUAGCGAAAGUUACGCUAAUACCGCAUACGAUCUAAGGAUGAAAGCCGGGGGGAGUCGCAAGACCUCGCGCGAUUGGAGCGGCCGAUAUCAGAUUAGGUAGUUGGUGAGGUAAAGGCUCACCAAGCCAACGAUCUGUAGCUGGUCUGAGAGGACGACCAGCCACACUGGAACUGAGACACGGUCCAGACUCCUACGGGAGGGCAGCAGUGGGGAAUUUUGG